ACAUCUUCUAAUAUUCCCAUAUCAACCGUGAGUGCAUCUUGUAUCGAAAUCAUGGCUAUUAAGGAGAGAAACUAUUUCAUAAUAUUCCAAAAUAUCAUCAAUAUUUAGAAGAAAUCUCUAUUGAAGGUAAGACAAUUGACUAUAUCUUGCAUAAUUCAUCAUGUAUGCAUCCUUGACUUGUGUAUACAACCAAACCAAAACCAACAAGAAAAUCUAUUAACAUCUAAUAUACAUUUCUACAUGGAAAAGAGCACUUGAAAAGCUGAGCUAAAGUUCUCACUGUUGAUUGCAAAACUUCUUGUGUGAUCCAAGAGCUGUUGGAACCAUAAAGAAGCUACUUAAUUGUGUAGAGGGUUUGACCCUCCUGGUACUUUACGAGCCGAAACUCUGAAACUCGUAUCAUCCUCUAGAGUUCUGGAUUUCUUGGGAGCUUCUAUUGAUGAAUACCAUGAAACAGGUAUCUGUGUGGUGGCAUGAAUGGCGGCUCUGUGGAUGUUUCGGCCAGUCGAGCGGUGGCUGGCGGCGAGUAGUACCACCAUGACUAGCAGCAAUGGGAUGGGGGAAUAUUGAAUUCUCAUGAUUAUGAUGUAUUAGAAGAAGUAAUGGUUGAGUUGAAUUAUUUCUUCAAU
rnacentral:lncRNA from 1 species